GGGGAAUUUUGGACAAUGGGCGCAAGCCUGAUCCAGCAAUGCCGCGUGUGUGAUGAAGGCCUUCGGGUUGUAAAGCACUUUUGGCGGGAACGAAAAGGACUGUGCCAAUACCACGGUUCGAUGACGGUACCCGCAGAAUAAGCACCGGCUAACUACGUGCCAGCAGCCGCGGUAAUACGUAGGGUGCGAGCGUUAAUCGGAAUUACUGGGCGUAAAGAGUGCGCAGGCGGUUUUGCAAGACCGAUGUGAAAUCCCCGGGCUUAACCUGGGAACUGCAUUGGUGACUGCAAGGCUAGAGUGUGUCAGAGGGAGGUGGAACUCCGCAUGUAGCAGUGAAAUGCGUAGAUAUGCGGAAGAACACCGAUGGCGAAGGCAGCCUCCUGGGAUAACACUGACGCUCAUGCACGAAAGCGUGGGGAGCAAACAGGAUUAGAUACCCUGGUAGUCCACGCCCUAAACGAUGUCUACUAGUUGUCGGGGAUUAAUUUCCUUGGUAACGCAGCUAACGCGUGAAGUAGACCGCCUGGGGAGUACGGUCGCAAGAUUA
rnacentral:rRNA from 1 species